GACGAACGCUGGCGGCGUGCUUAACACAUGCAAGUCGAACGGAAAGGCCCUGCUUUUGUGGGGUGCUCGAGUGGCGAACGGGUGAGUAACACGUGAGUAACCUGUCCUUGACUUUGGGAUAACUUCAGGAAACUGGGGCUAAUACCGGAUAGGAGCUCCUGCUGCAUGGUGGGGGUUGGAAAGUUUCGGCGGUUGGGGAUGGACUCGCGGCUUAUCAGCUUGUUGGUGGGGUAGUGGCUUACCAAGGCUUUGACGGGUAGCCGGCCUGAGAGGGUGACCGGCCACAUUGGGACUGAGAUACGGCCCAGACUCCUACGGGAGGCAGCAGUGGGGAAUAUUGCACAAUGGGCGGAAGCCUGAUGCAGCAACGCCGCGUGCGGGAUGACGGCCUUCGGGUUGUAAACCGCUUUCGCCUGUGACGAAGCGUGAGUGGCGGUAAUGGGUAAAGAAGCACCGGCUAACUACGUG
rnacentral:rRNA from 1 species